GGCGUACUGAUGACCUCAGUGUCGUCGGGUGCGAUGAUCCCUGAGAGCUGAUAUUUGGGACAGUGGGCGGCUCAAAAAAGGCGGGUGUGCUUGUCAAAGGGACACUCUGCCAUCCAGGUUCAAGGACCCACGUCUUGUGCAAGUUGAUUGCAUGGUCACCCGAUUCCUUGGUGGAUUUCACCUGUUCAUUCAGGAGGGCACAGAGAGACUGGACCACAUGGAGCAUUGCAGUGGGUGGCGGCUAGAGUGCCGUGGCGCUCAAUGUCAUUCUCCCUCGUUAUCAAAAGGUAAGGCAUCCCCAGUUUCUUCUGAGGACCUUCUCUCCCCCACUUUCAAUUCACAGACUUCUCCUGGAAUUGGUUCCACCCCCAACUCU